GAUGAGGUGACCGAGUGGUUAAGGUGACGGACUGCUAAUCCGUUGUGCUUUGCACGCGUCGGUUCACAUCCCAUCCUUGCCG
rnacentral:tRNA from 1 species